CUUCUUUACAAAGAUAUCAGCAAUUCUUUGUUGUUCAGUCCUAUGAAGAGGAAAGAUAAAUGAAAACAUAAAAGAAUCAUGAAUGUGUUCAAGGCAUAACUAGGCCAUCUAUCUUACUUUUUAUUUCUUC